GGGGCCUUAGCUCAGCUGGGAGAGCACCUGCUUUGCAAGCAGGGGGUCGUCGGUUCGAUCCCGACAGGCUCCACCA
rnacentral:tRNA from 487 species